rnacentral:rRNA from 1 species
GACGAACGCUGGCGGCGUGCUUAACACAUGCAAGUCGAACGGAAAGGCCCUGCUUUUGUGGGGUGCUCGAGUGGCGAACGGGUGAGUAAUACGUGAGUAACCUGCCCUUGACUUUGGGAUAACUUCAGGAAACUGGGGCUAAUACCGGAUAGGAGCUCCUGCUGCAUGGUGGGGGUUGGAAAGUUUCGGCGGUUGGGGAUGGACUCGCGGCUUAUCAGCUUGUUGGUGGGGUAGUGUCUUACCAAGGCUUUGACGGGUAGCCGGCCUGAGAGGGUGACCGGCCACGUUGGGACUGAGAUACGGCCCAGACUCCUACGGGAGGCAGCAGUGGGGAAUAGUGCACAAUGGGCGGAAGCCUGAUGCAGCAACGCCGCGUGCGGGAUGACGGCCUUCGGGUUGUAAACCGCUUUCGCCUGUGACGAAGCGUGUGUGACGGUAAUGGGUAAAGAAGCACCGGCUAACUACGUG